rfam:Glossina morsitans morsitans, isolate Yale, WGS project CCAG01000000 data, contig: ctg10017914
AUUUUGAGGGGUGACGCUGUACGCUGUAUGUGUUGUUUUCAUAGAUUCUUUGGAAAGACAAAUUCUUUUAAUAAUCAUAAGCGUAUAGCUUUUCCCCUUAAAUA